rnacentral:rRNA from 1 species
GACGAACGCUGGCGGCGUGCUUAACACAUGCAAGUCGAACGGAAAGGCCCCCACUUUUUUGGUGGGGGUGCUCGAGUGGCGAACGGGUGAGUAACACGUGGGUGAUCUGCCCUGUACUUCGGGAUAAGCUUGGGAAACUGGGUCUAAUACCGGAUAGGACCAUGGUUUAGUGUCUCAUGGUGGAAAAAUUAUUGUUUUGGUGCAGGAUGAGCUCGCGGCCUAUCAGCUUGUUGGUGGGGUAAUGGCCUACCAAGGCGUCGACGGGUAGCCGGCCUGAGAGGGUGGACGGCCACAUUGGGACUGGGAUACGGCCCAGACUCCUACGGGAGGCAGCAGUGGGGAAUAUUGCACAAUGGGCGCAAGCCUGAUGCAGCGACGCCGCGUGGGGGAUGACGGCCUUCGGGUUGUAAACUCCUUUCGUUAGGGACGAAGCCGCACCUUUUUUGGGUGUGGUGACGGUACCUUUGUUAAGAAGCACCGGCUAACUACGUG